AAAUGCAGUGGGGGAGGGGUUGCCCUCCAAGAGGAAUGAAAAAAGGCAGCAAUGGCUGAAGAAUAUACCAUAAUAAUCACCACGUGCUUAGUCAGAACCUGUGAUACAACUGCAUCUCUUCUGACUCAUCAGAGACCUACAAAUGAAGGAUUUCACAUCCAAGGCCUACAAUGUCUAAGGAUGUCCAAGGAUGGAUCAACAAGAAGUAUCAAUACCCAUGAACAGCUCCCCAAUCUGAAGAUGCUGCUCAGAAUUGAGAACAAGGGAUGACACUGAAGUUAUCAAAAGAGGACAUGAACUUGGUAACAGGCCCAGAAAUCAACUCUAUCCCAACCUCUCCUCAACCAUUAAAGGAUUCAAAAAGCUCAGCCACAAUAUCAAGCAUUCAUCUUUCAAUAAGUUAUAUGUUAUCAAUUUAUUUAUUUCUUAAAUAUAUGCCCUGUCUAUUGUUCAGGAGCUCAAGGUAGCACACAUAACAUUCCCUCUUUCAUUUUCUUCCCUGGGAGUAAGUUGGGUUGAGAGAGAGAAACUGCCUCAAAGUCUCCUGGUGACUUCCUUGGCUGAGAGUAAAUUUGAACCUAGGUCUCUCUCUAGUAUCAGUUCAACUCCUUAACUAUUAUACUACAGAAUUGCUAUUUGUGCCCUUCAUCGUUCUACACAGGAGAAAUAAACAGCAUUCUCAAUGCAAAACAAUAAUUGUACAUAAUUCUGACAUCAGAAAUGGCAACAUUCAGGGUAGUCAAUCAAUGAACUUAAAGCAGCUACGCCUUUCAAAGGAAUUUUGAAUCUAGCAAAAACCUGCUUGAAUUUAUACUUACUAAAAAGUUGCAAUACAUCAUUUGAACCAAGUAAAAAUAUUUUAAUCCCCUCACAUAUAUUAACUAUUAGGGCUUGGAAAUGUAUUAAUGGUGAAUGAUCACUGUAAUUUAAAAACCAUAUUUACUUUUAAUUGUUUCUGUUUCUGUUUUCUCCAUUAUGAUUAUUUCCCGCACUUUUAACACUUAACAUGAAUCUUCCAUCUACACAGAAGUUUAUUUGUAUGUAUAUGUAAAUAUAAAUUCUGCAUUGCAGAAUAUUCAAUAGUUUUUAAGAUAUCAAAAAUCUCUGCUGGGAAGAUUUAUCUGGAACUACAAGUUUGAGCCUUAGGGCAUAGGCUCCUCCAGCAAUUUUCUUAAUCACUACAGUCCUAUAGGAGAUCAACUCUGACUGCUCUUUAGAAGGCCAGAUUCUGAAGCUGAAACUCAAAUACUUUGGCCACCUAAUGAGAAGGAAGGACUCACUGGAGAA